AAGGCAGGGAGAGAGGGAGGAGGUCAGGGAGCCCUGGGGUGGAGGGGGAACGCAGAGCAUCCCCUGUGCGGACGUCCCAUUCCGACCUCAGAGGGACAAUCCCAUGGGAUGCGGGGGAGAAACCACUCUCUUCUUCGGGAUUGCAUUGGGAACAACGGGUCGGGAAAUGCGUGGGUGCCCGCAGAGAGCCGGGCCUGCGUGGGGAGCACAAACCGGUCCCAGUUCCGCACUGGGAAGCAGCGGUGUGGAUGCGGAGGAAGAGUGGGGCACGGCAGGCCGAGGUCAGCAGGAUGUGGGGGGAUGGGGAGACACCCGUGUGGCACUGCUGGGGAUAAGAGGGACAUGAGUAUGGCACCAUGGGGAGAGGGGAGACAUGAGUAUGAUGCCAUGGGAUUGGGGGAGACAUCACUAUGGUGCCAUGGGGAGAGGGGAGACACCACUAUGGCACCAUGGGGAGAGGGGAGACA
rnacentral:lncRNA from 1 species